UCGAUAACGAAGAGACCUUAACCUGCUAAAUAGACCCGCCGGCUUUGGCUGGCUGCUGUCUUCUUAGAGGGACUAUCAGCGUUUAGCCGAUGGAAGUUUGAGGCAAUAACAGGUCUGUGAUGCCCUUAGAUGUUCUGGGCCGCACGCGCGCUACACUGACAGAGCCAGCGAGUCUAUCACCUUUGCCGGAAGGCAUGGGUAAUCUUGUGAAACUCUGUCGUGAUGGGGAUAGAGCAUUGCAAUUAUUGCUCUUCAACGAGGAAUACCUAGUAAGCGUGAUUCAUCAGAUCGCGUUGAUUACGUCCCUGCCGUGACACUCUCGAA
rnacentral:rRNA from 1 species